rnacentral:lncRNA from 1 species
GGGGUCUCGGCCCCUCAGAGGGAGAGGCCGAGGAGGAGAGGGUCUCAGCCCCUUGAAGGGGGGGGAAGGGGGUCUCGGCCCCUCGGAGAGGCUGGGGGGGGGGGUCUCGGUCCCUCAGGGAGGGAGGAGGCGUGUAUCGGCCGCGCAGGGGGUCUGCUGUGCCCUCAGGCAGGUUUAUGCCUCACCGCCUGCCCCGUGUCCUUCGCUCAGGUGCCCCUUCCUGCGUCAUGUCGCUGCGAGGUUCCUGCUGCAAGACGGGCUCUGGCUGCUGGCAGCCCCUGUUGCUUCUCUGGGGCGUGAGGAUGUGGCUGCAGCCAAGGCAUGACCCCUGUGCAUGGAGAGGAAAAGGAGGAAGGCCUGAGCGAAGCUGCAGGUGUGCCCUGUGCCCACACAGAAGAGACAGAAGUUGAAGGUGAAAAAGAUUUUCCCUCUUGACAAAUCAAGGGUAAGUGGAUUUGAGCUUAACACAAAGGUUAUCAAAGUCUGAUGCUUUAAAAAAAAUCACUAGUGAUUCAGG